rfam:Youngiibacter fragilis 232.1 contig_47, whole genome shotgun sequence.
AAGAAAUGAAUAGCCAUUCCGUAGACAGUAGGUAGGGGAAAUUCCCGUAAAUCCGACCGAGGACUUUGAAGAUUGAUUUCAAAAGGUCUUUCCGUCUGCGGAAAGACCUUUCUUAUUUACAAG